rnacentral:rRNA from 1 species
UACGUAGGGUCCGAGCGUUGUCCGGAGUUACUGGGCGUAAAGCGCGCGCAGGUGGUCUUCUAAGCCCGGCGUGAAAGCCCCCGGGCUCAACCGGGGAGAGUCGUCGGGGACUGGGAGACUUGAGGGCGGCAGGGGCUGGUGGAAUCCCCGGUGUAGUGGUGAAAUGCGUAGAGAUCGGGGGGAACACCCGUGGCGAAGGCAAUCCCCUGGACCUGUACUGACGCUCAUGCACGAAAGCGUGGGGAGCAAACAGG